rnacentral:rRNA from 1 species
GACGCCGCGUGAGGGAUGACGGCCUUCGGGUUGUAAACCUCUUUCAGUAGGGAAGAAGCGAAAGUGACGGUACCUGCAGAAGAAGCACCGGCUAACUACGUGCCAGCAGCCGCGGUAAUACGUAGGGUGCGAGCGUUAUCCGGAAUUAUUGGGCGUAAAGAGCUCGUAGGCGGUUUGUCGCGUCUGUCGUGAAAGUCCGGGGCUUAACCCCGGAUCUGCGGUGGGUACGGGCAGACUAGAGUGCAGUAGGGGAGACUGGAAUUCCUGGUGUAGCGGUGGAAUGCGCAGAUAUCAGGAGGAACACCGAUGGCGAAGGCAGGUCUCUGGGCUGUAACUGACGCUGAGGAGCGAAAGCAUGGGGAGCGAACAGGAUUAGAUACCCUGGUAGUCCAUGCCGUAAACGUUGGGCACUAGGUGUGGGGACCAUUCCACGGUUUCCGCGCCGCAGCUAACGCAUUAAGUGCCCCGCCUGGGGAGUACGGCCGCAAGGCUAAAACUCAAAGGAAUUGACGGGGGCCCGCACAAGCGGCGGAGCAUGCGGAUUAAUUCGAUGCAACGCGAAGAACCUUACCAAGGCUUGACAUGUUCUCGAUCGCCGUAGAGAUACGGUUUCCCCUUUGGGGCGGGAUCACAGGUGGUGCAUGGUUGUCGUCAGCUCGUGUCGUGAGAUGUUGGGUUAAGUCCCGCAACGAGCGCAACCCUCGUUCCAUGUUGCCAGCACGUAAUGGUGGGGACUCAUGGGAGACUGCCGGGGUCAACUCGGAGGAAGGUGGGGACGACGUCAAAUCAUCAUGCCCCUUAUGUCUUGGGCUUCACGCAUGCUACAAUGGCCGGUACAAUGGG